UGGAGGCAGCAGUAAGGAAUAUUGCUUAAUGGGCGCAAGCCUGAAGCAGCAACGCCGCGUGUGCGAUGAAGGCCUUCGGGUUGUAAAGCACUUUUUACCGGGAAGAGGAAGGACGGUACCGGUAGAAUCAGCCUCGGCUAACUACGUGCCAGCAGCCGCGGUAAAACGUAGGAGGCGAGCGUUAUCCGGAUUUACUGGGUGUAAAGCGCGUGCAGGCGGUUUGCUAAGUUGGGUGUGAAAGCUCCUGGCUCAACUGGGAGAGGUCGCUCAAGACUGGCAGACUGGAGAGCAGUAAGGGAAGGUGGAAUUCCGGGUGUAGUGGUGAAAUGCGUAGAUAUCCGGAGGAACAUCAGUGGCGAAGGCGGCCUUCUGGACUGCAUCUGACGCUCAGACGCGAAAGCUAGGGGAGCAAACGGGAUUAGAUACCCUAGUAGUCU
rnacentral:rRNA from 1 species